AACGGCCUCAUUGGGACUGAGACACGGCCCAGACUCCUACGGGAGGCAGCAGUGGGGAAUAUUGCACAAUGGGGGAAACCCUGAUGCAGCUACGCCGCGUGGAGGAAGAAGGUCUUCGGAUUGUAAACUCCUGCUGUUGAGGAAGAUAAUGACGGUACUCAACAAGGAAGUGACGGCUAACUACGUGCCAGCAGCCGCGGUAAAACGUAGGUCACAAGCGUUGUCCGGAAUUACUGGGUGUAAAGGGAGCGCAGGCGGGAAGACAAGUUGGAAGUGAAAUCUAUGGGCUCAACCCAUAAACUGCUUUCAAAACUGUUUUUCUUGAGUAGUGCAGAGGUAGGCGGAAUUCCCGGUGUAGCGGUGGAAUGCGUAGAUAUCGGGAGGAACACCAGUGGCGAAGGCGGCCUACUGGGCACCAACUGACGCUGAGGCUCGAAAGUGUGGGUAGCAAACACGAUUAGAUACCCUGGUAGUCCACACCGUAAACGAUGAUUACUAGGUGUUGGAGGAUUGACCCCUUCAGUGCCGCAGUUAACACAAUAAGUAAUCCACCUGGGGAGUACGACCGCAAGGUUGAAACUCAAAGGAAUUGACGGGGGCCCGCACAAGCAGUGGAGUAUGUGGUUUAAUUCGACGCAACGCGAAGAACCUUACCAAGUCUUGACAUCCUGCGACGAUGCUGGAAACAGUAUUUUCCUUCGGGACGCAGAGACAGGUGGUGCAUGGUUGUCGUCAGCUCGUGUCGUGAGAUGUUGGGUUAAGUCCCGCAACGAGCGCAACCCUUACUGUCAGUUACUACGCAAGAGGACUCUGGCAGGACUGCCGUUGACAAAACGGAGGAAGGUGGGGAUGACGUCAAAUCAUCAUGCCCUUUAUGACUUGGGCUACACACGUACUACAAUGGCGUUAAACAAAGAGAAGCAAGACCGCGAGGUGGAGCAAAACUCAGAAACAACGUCCCAGUUCGGACUGCAGGCUGCAACUCGCCUGCACGAAGUCGGAAUUGCUAGUAAUCGUGGAUCAGCAUGCCACGGUGAAUACGUUCCCGGGCCUUGCACACACAGCCCGUCAA
rnacentral:rRNA from 1 species